AUUGAACGCUGGCGGCAGGCCUAACACAUGCAAGUCGAACGAAUUGCGGACGGGUGAGUAAUGUCUGGGAACCUGCCUGAUGGAGGGGUAUAACUACUGUAAACGGUAGCUACUACCGCAUACCAUCAGAUGUGCCCAGAUGGGACUAGCUAGUUGGUGUGGUAACGGCGCACCAAGGCGACGAUCCCUAGCGGGUCUGAGAGGAUGACCCGCCACACUGGAACUGAGACACGGUCCAGACUCCUACGGGAGGCAGCAGUGGGGAAUAUUGAACAAGGGGCGAAAGGCUGAGGAAGCAAUGCCGCGUGUAUGAAGAAGGCCUUCGGGUGGUAAAGUACUUUCGGCGGGGAGGCGUUACCAGAAGAAGAAGCACCGGCUAACUCCGUGCCAGCCGCCGCGGUAAUAC
rnacentral:rRNA from 1 species